CUGGGGAAAGAGAAAGUCAUACAUAUUCCUUAAGUUUUGGGGAAGUGGCAUGUAUACUUACUGUGGGGCUGGGCUAGGAAUUAGCAUGGAAGUAGUAGAUGGACCCUAGCUUCUGAAGUCCAGUGAUUUUAAUUUCUUGGUACGAGUCUCAGAGCUCGAGUUUAACUUCAGGUCACUGAUUAUCUCACAGCACAUGCAUGGAGGUCUGGUUUCAGUUGGUUUGUCUGAAAAACACUUGUAAGGAGGGAGAUUAGAAGUAAACAGGAUUGAAGUGGCGGGGGGCGGGGACUCUCCAUCUUGCCUGCAAUCUUUAUCUAAUGUUGUCCUGCAAAAUUCUUCACUGGCACAGCCCCUGGCUCAGGGCCUGUUUGUUUUCUACCUGGUCUCAGAGUUAGUGCCUUUCCCUCAGUGCUUUCAGUUUCAUAUUACCCUAAUGUUGCCAAAAAGGCUGCUUUAUUUACUUACUUCCUUACACUUGAGGAAAUCCAGAAAGCCCUAGGAUUUUGGAGGGGUGAAAUAGAAGUCCCAGGAUCCAGAGGAAGACCGAGAAAGAAAAGAAAUCACUCGACCUAAUGAGGAAGAAAAAAAGAUGGCUGAUGUACAGAAAAUCUGUGGCCCCGCUGUGGAACAUUAUGAUGUAAUGAACACAAAAUCACCUAGUGAAAGUUCGUAUUCCACUUAAAGAUUGGAGAUUCCUGUUCAUUCAACUUCUUCCCUUGCACAUAAGGUCACUCCCUAGACAUGGCCUCUGAGAUUCACAUGCCAGGCCUGGUGUGCCUCAUUGAGAACAGUGAAAGGAGACUGACAGUUAACCAGGGUGCUUUGAAGAUCCUGUCUGCCAUAACCCAGCCUGUCUUGGUGGUGGCUAUUGUGGGCACCUAUUGCACAGGUAAAUCCUACCUGAUGAACAAGCUGGCUGGGAAGAAUCAGGGCUUCUCCCUGGGCUCCACAGUGCAGUCUCACACCAAGGGAAUCUGGAUGUGUUGUUUGCCUCACCCCAAGAAGCUGAACCACACCCUAGUUCUGCUUGACACGGAGGGCCUGGGAGAUGUAGAGAAGGUAAGG